GAUGAACGCUGGCGGCGUGCCUAAUACAUGCGAGUCGAGCGAACAGAUGAGGAGCUUGCUCCUCUGACGUUAGCGGCGGGCGGGUGAGUAACACGUGGAUAACCUACCUAUAAGACUGGGAUAACUUCGGGAAACCGGAGCUAAUACCGGAUAAUAUAUUGAACCGCAUGGUUCAAUAGUGAAAGACGGUUUUGCUGUCACUUAUAGGUGGAUCCGCGCCGCAUUAGCUAGUUGGUAAGGUAAAGGCUUACCAAGGCAACGAUGCGUAGCCGACCUGAGAGGGUGAUCGGCCACACUGGAACUGAGACACGGUCCAGACUCCUACGGGAGGCAGCAGUAGGGAAUCUUCCGCAAUGGGCGAAAGCCUGACGGAGCAACGCCGCGUGAGUGAUGAAGGUCUUCGGAUCGUAAAACUCUGUUAUUAGGGAAGAACAAAUGUGUAAGUAACUAUGCACGUCUUGACGGUACCUAAUCAGAAAGCCACGGCUAACUACGUG
rnacentral:rRNA from 1 species